rnacentral:lncRNA from 1 species
GGGGGGGAGGGGCGAAAGGAUUUGGGCUCCCGCAGCCGGAGACCUUCGGCAUCAGGGAACCGGGAUCUGGGCUGUGGCACCGCGCGGGAUGCUGGGUCAUCUUUCAAGGUGGGAAUUCGGGGAAAAAGGGCUGGAAAAACACCUCCACUACGGACCUUGCCCCGGAGCAGGUGGCGCUUUCACAGCCUGUGUGCACAGAGGGCAUGGGGACAUAUGGRGGAYRUAUGGGGACAUAUGGGGGCACAGAUGGCAUAGGGACACAUGGGGGACAUAUGGGGACAUAUGGAAGGCACAGAGGGCAUGGGGACACAUGGAGCACAUAUGGGGGGCACAGAGGGCAUGGGGACACAUGGGGGACAUAUGGGGACAUAUGGAGGACAUAUGGGGGACAUACGGGGGCACAGAUGGCAUAGGGACACAUGAGGGACAUAUGGGGGCACAGAAGGCAUGGGGACACCUUGAAGAAAUGGAGGACUUGGGGACACAGGGGGACACCGGGGACAUGGGGAAACAAGGGGGGACACGAGGGCACACAGGGUCCAGGGGGACACUGGGGCUCACAGGGGACAUGGGGGGACAUGGAGGGACAUGGAAGACACUUGGGGGCAGUCGGAGACACACAGGGCACAUGGGGAAACACAGGGACACCCAGGGGACACAGGGACACCUGUGGGGACACAGGGACACCCAGGGGACACAGGAGCACCCAGGGGACACAGGGACACCCGUGGGGACACAGGGGCCCUGUGGGGACCCAGCUCAGGUGGCCGGGGUGGGGGAGGGGAUCCUGGCUGUGGGCGGGGCCUGACCCCUUUGCACACCUGUGGUGGGUGGGGCUACACCCAUGUGUGGGACRAUUGGGGCGGGGUCACAUGGGCCAGGGGGCGUGGCCAGGAGCAGGUGCUCUUGCAUGUGGGCGGGGCCCCCUCUUGUGCAAUGGAUGUGGGCGGGGCCGGGGCGUUGUGCACUGCCUGGGGGCGGGGCCAGGCCCCAGGCAAAAGACUGUGGGCGGGGCCAGCUCCUUCCGCACCAGUCAUGGGCGGGGCCAGGCCAGCGCACGGCUAGUGGGCGGGGCCAAGCCCGCGCUCGGGGGGUUGUGGGCGGGGCCUGUGCCCUGGCGCGGCCCCAGCAGCCCGGCUGGGCCCCACUGGUCCCGUCCUGGCCCCCCGGCAGCGCUGCGCCAGAUGUUUGCACGUGCAGCACAGCUGGAUGGGGGCAAGGCACCAGGCUGGCAAAAGCCAUGUGCCGGCACGCUGCCGGAAAGCUCGGCUUUCCUUGAAGUCCGAGCGGGCCCUGCUCAGCUCAUGCCCGGGCUUAAAUCCAGUAGAUGCUGGAGGAACAUCUCAUGGGCUUCAGGUCUGUGCAGCAGGAGGUAGCUGGGACCUGUAGCUCUGCAAGAUCGGGGUCGUGCAGACAACAUCCAAUGUCCCCAAAAUGCUGGUAUGUGGGGGAGCAAGGGGCCUCUGCCCGCCAGGAACAAAAAGGCACCUGGCCGGUCACGGAAACCCCUGCCGCGAGGCUAAAAAGUUCAGGAAACACCCAAAUACACGCGAGAAAAAUUGUUCCGGAGCUACGAAACGCAACCCCUUGCUGUUACACCCGGCACCGGCUGCUCCCGGGGCAGAUGGACCUUGAGCUACCUCCGCUCCUCCGGCCUCGAAAAAGCAAAGGRGACGAGCACGGGACUGACAGCACCUUCGUACUGCAUGGAGCAAACACGCAAAUAAGCUUUGCCUAAAAUCCUUGUGUUACAGCAACCUCAGGGGCYGCUAGGAAUGAGAGGAGACUUGAGCCCAGCUGAGCCAGCUUUGAACUUUAACCUUUUUGGUGCACGGCCCCAAAUCCUGUUUCCCCUGACUUUGCUUGGCCUCCCUGAGGAGGGAGGCUUGUAGCUAGCAGGAGCCUUUAAAAAUCAAACCCAAAGACAUUUGCAACCCAGGAUUGAAACAGGGGAUGAGGCAUGGCUCGUGCAUAUGCACCGAGCUCGCACGGGACUCGGGAGCGGGUUCGCAGGCCUCCCGCCGCRGACGGUCACGCUACAAAGGUUGCCGGCUAAUAAAAGCCAAGCGCAAUGGCUGGGAGAGCCCCCU